rnacentral:rRNA from 1 species
AUGAACGCUAGCGGCAGGCCUAAUACAUGCAAGUCGGACGGGAUUCAGGAGCUUGCUUCUGAUGAGAGUGGCGCACGGGUGCGUAACACGUAUGUAACCUACCUUUAUCAGGGGGAUAGCCUCUCGAAAGAGAGAUUAAGCCCGCAUAAAAUCACAGCACAGCAUUGUGUAAUGAUCAAAUAUUUAUAGGAUAAAGAUGGGCAUGCGGAACAUUAGCUAGAUGGCGGGGUAACGGCCCACCAUGGCGACGAUGUUUAGGGGAUCUGAGAGGAUGGCCCCCCAACACGGGACUGGGACAACGGCCAGGAUCCCACGGGAGGCAAGCGGAAGGGAAAAUGGUCAAUGGGCGGGAGCCUGAAACAGGCAAGCCGCGUGCAGGAAGAACGCCCUAAGGGUUGUAAACUGCUUUUAUACGGGAAUAAACCCAGAUACGUGUAUCUGGCUGAAUGUACUGUAAGAAUAAGGAUCGGCUAACUCCGUG